CCUACGGGAGGCAGCAGUGGGGAAUAUUGGACAAUGGGCGAAACCCUGAUCCAGCGACGCCGCGUGAGUGAAGAAGUAUUUCGGUAUGUAAAGCCCUAUCAGCAGGGAAGAAAGAAAUGACGGUACCUGAGUAAGGAGCCCAGGCUAACUAAGUGCCAGCAGCCGCGGGAAUACGUAGGGGGCAAGCGUUAUCCGGAAUUACUGGGUGUAAAGGGAGCGUAGACGGUAAUGUAAGUCUGGAGUGAAAGGCGGUGGCCUAACCCCCGUACUGCUCUGGAAACUGUGUAACUGGAGUGCAGGAGAGGCAGGCGGAAUUCCUAGUGUAGCGGUGAAAUGCGUAGAUAUUAGGAGGAACACCAGUGGCGAAGGCGGCCUGCUGGACUGUAACUGACGUUGAGGCUCGAAAGCGUGGGUAGCAAACAGGAUUAGAUACCCUUGUAGUC
rnacentral:rRNA from 1 species